UACGUAGGGUGCAGGCGUUAAUCGGAAUUACUGGGCGUAAAGCGUGCGCAGGCGGUCUUUUUAAGUCAGAUGUGAAAUCCCCGGGCUUAACCUGGGACUGCGUUUGAAACUGGAAGGCUUGAGUGUGGCAGAGGGGGGUGGAAUUCCACGUGUAGCAGUGAAAUGCGUAGAGAUGUGGAGGAACACCGAUGGCGAAGGCAGCCCCCUGGGCUAACACUGACGCUCAUGCACGAAAGCGUGGGGAGCAAACAGG
rnacentral:rRNA from 1 species